rfam:Stegodyphus mimosarum contig17201, whole genome shotgun sequence.
GUCUUCGUGGUGCAAUGGCCAGCGCACUCGGCGCGUAUUCGAGAGGUCCGAGGUUCGAGUCCCGGUGAAGGCA